UGCGCAGGCGGUCGUAAAAGACAGAUGUGAAAUCCCCGGGCUUAACCUGGGAACUGCAUUUGUGACUGUACGGCUGGAGUGCGGCAGAGGGGGAUGGAAUUCCGCGUGUAGCAGUGAAAUGCGUAGAUAUGCGGAGGAACACCGAUGGCGAAGGCAAUCCCCUGGGCCUGCACUGACGCUCAUGCACGAAAGCGUGGGGAGCAAACAGGAUUAGAUACCCUGGUAGUCCACGCCCUAAACUAUGUCAACUGGUUGUUGGGAAGGUUCCUUCUCAGUAACGAAGCUAACGCGUGAAGUUGACCGCCUGGGGAGUACGGCCGCAAGGUUGAA
rnacentral:rRNA from 1 species